rnacentral:lncRNA from 7 species
UGUUUCUAACAUUAUUGGCAUUAGCCCAAGGAAUGUGAUUUUCAGCAGAAAGCUCCCAUUACUUCCUGUUUGAUAUUUAAACGUGUCAAAUGUCAGGUGUUUUGAGAACAAGUUUCUGUUCAGUUAUAUUUCUAUGAUCCAUAUAGAUUCUUUGCUUGUAACUACUAGAAUACAGUCUAGAUCCUUUGUUCUGUCAGAUGAAUACUAGCGUUCACUACUCAACUCAACGCAUACCCUC